GACGAACGCUGGCGGCGUGCUUAACACAUGCAAGUCGAACGGUAAGGCCCCUCGGGGUACACGAGUGGCGAACGGGUGAGUAACACGUGGGUGAUCUGCCCUGCACUUCGGGAUAAGCCUGGGAAACUGGGUCUAAUACCGGAUAGGGCCACUGCCUGCAUGGGUGGUGGUGGAAAGCUUUUGCGGUGUGGGAGGGGCCCGCGGCCUAUCAGCUUGUUGGUGGGGUGAUGGCCUACCAAGGCGACGACGGGUAGCCGGCCUGAGAGGGUGACCGGCCACACUGGGACUGAGAUACGGCCCAGACUCCUACGGGAGGCAGCAGUGGGGAAUAUUGCACAAUGGGCGCAAGCCUGAUGCAGCGACGCCGCGUGAGGGAUGACGGCCUUCGGGUUGUAAACCUCUUUCAGCACCGACGAAGCGCAAGUGACGGUAGGUGCAGAAGAAGGACCGGCCAACUACGUGCCAGCCGCCGCGGUAA
rnacentral:rRNA from 1 species